rnacentral:rRNA from 1 species
CCUACGGGAGGCAGCAGUGAGGAAUAUUGGUCAAUGGGCUUACGCCUGAACCAGCCAAGUCGCGUGAGGGAAGACUGCCCUAUGGGUUGUAAACCUCUUUUGUCAGGGAGCAACGCCGGCUACGUGUAGCCGGACUGAGAGUACCUGAAGAAAAAGCAUCGGCUAACUCCGUGUCAGCAGCCGCGGUAAUACGGAGGAUGCGAGCGUUAUCCGGAUUUAUGGGGUUUAAAGGGUGCGUAGGCGGAAUGCCAAGUCAGCGGUAAAAUCGCGGGGCUCAACCUCGCUCCGCCGUUGAAACUGGCGUUCUUGAGUGGGCGAGAAGUAUGCGGAAUGCGUGGUGUAGCGGUGAAAUGCAUAGAUAUCACGCAGAACUCCGAUUGCGAAGGCAGCAUACCGGCGCCCAACUGACGCUGAAGCACGAAAGCGUGGGUAUCGAACAGGAUUAGAUACCCGAGUAGUC